CUUAAUUAUUUAAUAAAUUAUUUUGCGGAAUACUUUGAAUAGGUUCGCGGUACACUGGUGUUCCACGGAACGGCAGUUGAGAAUCAUUGUGUUAAAUGUUAUAUUAGAUGUUUUGUCUUUGUUAAUUCCAAGACACAAUAUGCCUUUUUGUCACUUGCCAUUUUGCUACACUAGCAUUCCUAACAAUGUGGCAUGCAGCUUGCACAUGUCCCAAGAGCUAAUAAAACUUUUAGAGUUUUGUUAUUCAUUGAUACCUUAUACAAUAAGCACUGGAUAUUGUAAUCAGUUAUGUAAUAGAAUCAAAUUUAGUAGCAUGGAAACAAAUCAGCAAAUUCAGUUUUUUUAUCUUCAUUUA
rnacentral:lncRNA from 1 species